rnacentral:rRNA from 1 species
AACGAACGCUGGCGGCGUGGAUAAGACAUGCAAGUCGAACGGGACAACAUCUGUAGCAAUACAGGUGUUGUUUAGUGGCGAACGGGUGCGUAACACGUGGGCAAUCUGCCGAGAAGUGGGGGAUAGCUCGCCGAAAGGCGAAUUAAUACCGCAUGUGGUGAGGGAAGACAUCUUCCUGAAUCCAAAGCCGGGGUAACCUGGCGCUUUUUGAGGAGCCCGCGGCCUAUCAGCUAGUUGGUGAGGUAACGGCUCACCAAGGCCUUUGACGGGUAGCUGGUCUGAGAGGACGACCAGUCACACUGGAACUGAGACACGGUCCAGACACCUACGGGUGGCAGCAGUCGAG